ensembl:snRNA U6 U6 spliceosomal RNA
GUGCUUGCUUCGGCAGCACAUAUACUACAAUUGGAAUGAUACAGAGAAGAUUAGCAUGGCUCCUGCGCAAGAAUGAUACGCAAAUUCGUGAAGCAUUCCAUAUUUUU